ensembl:lncRNA
GGGAAAAAUGUUCAUUUCAUAGUAGUUUUGCCAGUUUUCUUCUUCUACUCACUGUUUUUAUUACAUUAAGAACAAAGGAAGAUAACCAUAAGGCAACACUUCAUUUUUCUCCAGAGUAAAAUGCAUGCAAAGAUCAACCAUUUGACUCCCCUGUCAAAUGUUUAGCUGCUUUCCUCAGUCCUCCAUAGUGUUAAAUUGUGACGCAGGUAGGGAACAGCCCCCACCCCCUCACCCCGUCUGACCUGUGCAUCUGUUGGUGAAAGCUCUGCAGUCAUAUUCCCCUGUUUUCACGUGCUCGGAGCAGCAGUGCAGAAAUGCUCGAGCAGAUGAUCAUAGCAAUGUCUGUUCUCCUGACCCUCUUCCAUGCCGAACUUACUGAAUCCUCCUCAAGCUGCUAUCAUGAGCAAGCCGAAAUAAAAAGAGUGGAUGAAAAUGCAACAGCAUUUGUGUCCUGUCCAGCACUUGCAGUGCAUAAAAAACCAUCUAUCACUCUAUACAAGGGAAAUACAAAGCUGCACUCAACAAACCUGAGUGAUGUGGACAGUAAUAAAACAUGGCAGCGUUUUCAGGUGUACAUACAAAACUCCUCAGUCUCAUAUAAGAUUUUAAGGACUGAAGCCAAUGACACAGGACUCUACAACUGCGUAAUCGACACGCACAUCAGGACAAAGGAUUCACUAACUAUGUUGCUCAUUAAAGACGGUCUGCUGCCCAUAGAAUCAACUGUCACUUGUCCCACUGAUCAGAUACUGCCACUUAUUGUUGGCUGUGUGGUCAUCAUUGUAUAUAAUCUGUUCGUCACUGUCUUUGGCUGUUACCUCAAAUAUAAACUCAAGAACACAGAGCCAGCUGAGAAUCCCUACAUAAACACAAGACCAAGAGGAUUCAGACGACGCUAAUGAGCUCAGCAUCCAGCAAAUAUCAGCAGCGUUGCAAUAUCUCAGUCUUCCACUGGCUGUUACAUUAGUACCUCCUAUCAGCUGAGCAGUACUGCCCAGAGAGUGUAUUAAACAGAUCUACUAAUUGUUCUUGUAUCUAUUGCUGUUGUAUAUUCUGUAUAUAUACAGUGUAUGUAUGUAUGUACACUGGGGGUCAAAGGUUUGGAAUAAUUAGGAAUUUUUAUGUUUUUGAAAGUGUCUUACGUUCAACAAGUCUGCAUUUAUUUGAUGAGUAAAAAUAAAGUAAAAUGGUAAUAUUGUGACA